CAAAUUAAUUGACUGAUAAAAUCCAUGUGCAAAAACCACAUAGAUUGCUGGCGGAGUCAGUUUAUGUGCGAGUAAUAGAAAUUAUUAAUAACACUUUUAACAUACAUUAUGAAUAGAAUACAUCCAAAGUGUAGCAGCAUAAAAAGUAAUAUCUUAGCACAGACGCAAUUUCAAAACAAACUUGAACGUAAAAAACAAAAUGGUGUGCGCAGAAGAUGAGCAUUUUCAGUAGAAAAUUUGUUGAAUUAGGCGGAGAGUUAAUGGAAAUUGCAAAAGUUAGUUUGGCAGAGAUAGCAUCGGUUAUUUAUGGCGAGCGGCGAUCGCGUUGAUCAUUUGUAGGCAUCCGGAUCCAGCAUGCAAUUUCAACCGAGACGAGUUGUGUGACCGGAUAGACCGGAUAUCAGCCCCGCAACAGCAGAAAAGGAACCGAACGGAUCUACGGUGCCAGCUCUACCGGAUGAUAUAACCGCUUCUCAUCAACAACUCAACAACAACAGCAGCAGCGGGGGGUUCAUUCUGGAUCAUCGUCACCACAAGUCAGCUGUGGGAAGCAUCGAGCGGGCCGAGCAAUGAACACAAAAUCAGCCACACAAGUUUCCGGUGCUGCAGCAGCAGUCUUGCGAUGUAAACACUGUAUAUUGUAGGAUAAUAAAUUCCUCAGUAAUUUCUAUUUUGAAACCAA